rnacentral:lncRNA from 10 species
AGGAAUCCUCCUGUCUGGAACUACAGGAAGAAGAUGAUUUUUCACCUAGUGGAGUCAUUGAACAGUGGUCUUCAAAUUGGGAUUAUUUCCAAGAAUGGAUUAAAAUGCCAUGAAAAAGAAAAAAUUAUAGAAAAGCAAAAAGAGCUGAAUGCAGUGAAUGAACAUCUGUGAAUGAAGUUGAGAAGGUAUAUGUGGUGAAAAAAGAGUGAUAUUAGUGGACUAUUCAAGAGAAUAUUAAAGUCCAGUACUGAGAGAGGCAUAAUCACCUGCACUUACACAUUGCUGACCACAGUACUGCUCAGGAGGAACUGGAAGGUGAGGAUAUAACACACAUUGAAGCACUUAAUCACCUCUUGAUUGACUAAAGUAAAAUCCUGAUUUAAGGAUCUAAACUGUGUUUUUCAUUUAUUAGCACUUUGGAUAGCAACAAAUGUUUCCAAACACCUGAGAACAGGAGGGCAGACUAGAAUUGCAGUGCACAGAUACAAGAAUGUUGCCUGCUUUGGAGCCAAGACUGCCUUCCGGAUAAAGGGCCCACAGAGAGCUGAGAGCUGUGUAAUACCUCAAAGACUGAAGAAAAGAGUUAGACAGCCAUCUUUCCUUAGAGGAUUUUGCUGCAGACAGCUUGAACUACCAGAAGGUUAUAUACUGACCAUGGGUAGAGUAAGGAAGAAAUACAUCCUUCGGAAAGGACAAUGAAGAUCUUUACAGCAGGGGAUGGAGUCUCAGUCUUUUGCCCUGGCUGGGGUACA